rnacentral:lncRNA from 1 species
UGCGUUAGUAAUGAGUAGGAAUUACGCGUAAUUACUGUUUCUAGAGCAAGUGGUAAAGGGUUAGUGGCGAGGUCCCAAGUGCGAACCCUAGUUGAUUUAUAUUUCUACCUAAGUUUAUUUCUAAAUGAAAUAAACGAAGCGGGUAGCAUGCUAUCUAUCUCUCUCAAAAAAAAAUUUAAAAAAAAUUUCACCAAUUUUUGCCCCUUUUUUUUUCUUUUCCUUGAAAAUUAU